CCCAAGGAUGGGUCUGCGGCCUAUCAGGUAGUAGUGGGUGUAAUGUACCUACUAGCCAACAACGGGUACGGGUUGUGAGAGCAAGAGCCCGGAGAUGGAUUCUGAGACAUGAAUCCAGGCCCUACGGGGCGCAGCAGGCGCGAAAACUUUACAAUGCGGGAAACCGUGAUAAGGGAACACCGAGUGCCAGCAUCAUAUGCUGGCUGUCCAGAUGUGUAAACUACAUCUGUUAGCAAGGGCCGGGCAAGACCGGUGCCAGCCGCCGCGGUAACACCGGCGGCCCGAGUGGUGACCGUUAUUAUUGGGUCUAAGGGUCCGUAGCCGGUUUGGUCAGUCCUCCGGGAAAUCUGAUAGCUUAACUGUUAGGCUUUCGGGGGAUACUGCCAGGCUUGGAACCGGGAGAGGUAAGAGGUACUACAGGGGUAGGAGUGAAAUCUUGUAAUCCCUGUGAGACCACCUGUGGCGAAGGCGUCUUACCAGAACGGGUUCGACGGUGAGGGACGAAAGCUGGGGGCACGAACCGGAUUAGAUACCCGGGUAGUCCCAGCCGUAAACUAUGCUCGCUAGGUGUCAGGCAUGGCGCGACCGUGUCUGGUGCCGCAGGGAAGCCGUGAAGCGAGCCACCUGGGAAGUACGGCCGCAAGGCUGAAACUUAAAGGAAUGGCGGGGGAGCACA
rnacentral:rRNA from 1 species